GAGAGGUGCUGCAUGGCUGUCGUCAGCUCGUGUUGUGAAAUGUUGGGUUAAGUCUCGCAACGAGCGCAACCCCUAUCGUCUGUUGCCAGCAUUAAGUUGGGCACUCUGACGAGACUGCCUGGGUUAACCAGGAGGAAGGUGGGGAUGACGUCAAGUCCUCAUGGCCCUUAUGUCUAGGGCUACACACGUAAUACAAUGGCGCGUACAGAGGGAAGCGAACUCGCGAGGGGGAGCAAAUCUCAAAAAGCGCGUCUCAGUUCGGAUUGGAGUCUGCAACUCGACUCCAUGAAGUUGGAAUCGCUAGUA
rnacentral:rRNA from 1 species